GCCAGAUCGAUCACGAGAAGAAGAGGUGUCACAAUUUAGGGCUAAAUGGGAAAUCUUCUUGGCCGCUAAGACCGAGCGAUGCAGGCCAGUCGUCCCACACACCAUUGGGUGUGAUUUGUAGAGGGCAGGGAUAGAUGAGGUCACCGCUGGCUUAUUCAGGUUUCAAGGAGGACCCGGCUCAAGGGUCGCAUAGCACAUCUUAACAUGCUGCAGAAAGGUUUGAGCUUUCUUUCUCUUUUCUUUUGGAUUGUGAGGAUAGAGGAUGUGGACGGAUUCUUUGGAGCUCGGAUCUGACUGGUAACGCAGUAAUACCAAUUUCUUUGCUUCUCUCUCCUUUUUUUCUAGACCUUGGAGACUCCCAAGCAUCAAGGCAUUGCUGAGAGUUGGAAUUCGAGGAGUAACUAUGAGCAAUGUUCGUGGUUUAGGCACUCAAGGCUCUUAGUUCUCGGAAGACAAGUUCGUGACGAAGAUCAAAAUGGACUUCGCUGCUUUACAAACUUUUGUUUCAUCUCUAAAUGGAAACCCAGGUGGAGCUUGUGAUUGAUCGGGGACGUCAAGAUAUUUGGUAAGCAAGACGAGGAUCUCUAGACUUGGAAUCCAACAAGAACCACGUGUGCUAGCAGUGAUCCCAGUCGCAGACUCAAAGCCUAGAGAAUGGGGGGAGGUUACACAUACAUCCUUUCUUCUUCCACCACCUAAAUCUCUUCCAUGCUAGAAAGUUUUGGAGAACUUUGCUUGAGAUCUAAGAUAAUCCAUGCUAGAAACUUUUGGAUUUUGGAUCCAAGAUAAUUGGUAGAAGAACUUUGCUUGAUAAUCCAUGUUAGAAAUGUUACCACCU